rnacentral:tRNA from 1 species
GUGGAUGUAGCUCAGUUGGUUAGAGCCCCGGCUUGUGGAGCCGGCUGUCGUGGGUUCGAGUCCCAUCAUCCACCC